UCUCAAUGUGCUUUUCUCUUCCCUUCUAAGGGUUCCCCUUUCUUCCUUCCUCCCUGGCCCUUCCUCUCCCCAUCCCCACGUCUGUCCCUCUGUCUUCCUGUGAGACAGUUUGUAUUAUCUCACCAGCAGCACAGGACAGGACUUCUGCUUUUGCCCCGCCCCCACGCAGAGGCAGAGGCCUCACCGCCCCGCCCUCGCAGCCAGGCUGGAGCUGCGCAAAGAAACACUAAGCUCCGGGCCGGCUUCCCGGGGAAGCCGAGCAGGACCCGGGCUGUCACCGGGUCCCUGCCCUGCAGGCCAGGAUGCCUCCCUGAGACUGUCACGCACCCCCACCCUGAGGCUGGCAGCCCUGACCCAGCCAACCCCACUUCGGCCACGUACCCCAGCCCCACUCACACCAACAUCCUCUUUGGUCUUUUCACUGGUCACCCGGGCCAGUGUUGCUGAUGGCCCCCUGCGCUGGCCGCUGCGGGGCCUCCGCCAGCCUGGAAGGAGGUGGGUGCCCUGCAGGUGGGGGCCCCACACCCCACAAAGAGGCGAGAGCCUCCAGGCAGGUGCAGGUUGGCGGGGAAGCAGUGAGCAGGCCUCAGGGUUGCCCUCCCCCAGUACCCACCCUCCCCCCCAGCCUGCAGCAGCCUCGCCACCUCCUUCCGGUCGACAUCACAGCCCUUGCCCCUCCCCAGGGCCAGGACUGGCCUCACCCCGAUGACAUCCUGUCUCUAUCGGCCCUGGCACUGGCUCGAGCUCACUGCUACUCAUGCCACUCCCUCCUGGGGCUGCCCCUCCGCUGCACACCACAAGCACUGAUUCACUUUAUCUGCAGGUUCCACACCCUUCUCGAGGCGCUGCGUGCCCAGGGGCCUGCAGGUGGACGGGCAGGCUGGGCCCCUGCUCCAGGGCUGGGCCACAUCCUUGGUCCGCAGGGGCAUCCUGCUGUGUCAGCCCAGCACCCGCUCAUGGGAAGGUGCAGGGAUAACUGGUCCUGCUGAUUGAGACACCCAUCUGUCCCCACAGCUCUGCUCCCCUCCCUCCGUCUUCAGCCAGCUGGUCUCCAGGAGCGCCCUGCACAGCCCCUGGUGCCCGGCCCCUCCCUUCCCCUCCGCAGGGGCACUCCGCGCCCACCUGCUGCAGACAGGGCUGAGGCUCCACUGGCGAGCUGUCUGAGGAGGGGGCCAGAGGCCAAGGCUGCUGCCAGGGAGGAGGCUGGCAGGGUCUCAGAGCCUGGUGCAGAGCCCAGGCUCCUGGUCCGUCUGCUCCUCCGGGUGGGGCCUUGCGGUCCGGCCGCAGCUCUGGGAGGAAACGCCCUGGAGAGGACACGCCAGUGGCCGUCCUGCCGCGCUGUGCCUUCCGUGCCCAGGACCACUCCCUGCGGCUGCCCUCCCAUCCUCCCCACGCUGACCGGGGCCAGCACUGUGAGGGAGAGGCUGUGCCCGCCCGCUCCCCGCUCUCGUGCUGAGAAGACGGCUCUUCUCUGUGACUGAACAAUCUCCAAAAUGGAAAUGUAUAUUUUUGCUAGGAGCCCCCGUUUCCUGUGUUUUUAAUAUAAAUAGUGUACACAGACGGAUGAACUUUAAAUAAAUGGGAAUUAAGUAUUUAA